UGUCAAGGGAUGGAAUCGAACCCACGACCUUCCGCUUACCGGGCAGAUGCCAUGACCACUAGGCUACCCUGGAC
rnacentral:tRNA from 1 species